UGUCAGCAAAGGGGCGAAUAACGCUGUUGUGAGUCUGGGCCCGGGCCCGGAAGUUGGUCAGCUGCUCCUGGGUCAUAACUUGUGCUACUUCAGCCUGCUUCCCGACCAUGACUGAUGGACUUGGGCAGUCCCUUCUCAGAGUACCCGACUCCACCCAGGUGCCCACCUGACAAGGUGUUGUAUGCAACUAGGAGGAGAUGCAGUCAGUGUUCUGAGCUUAAAAAAGGAGGAACAAGGAAUAGCAUCUGGGAUACCUAAGAAGAAGCCAUCAGCAUUAGGAUCCCACCUUCUCCCCAGGAAGACACUGCACUGUUAUUCCACAGCUCCCUCCAGACCUCACCAACUGCAGGCUGCAGCAGACACCAGAAGGGAAAGAUUUUGUUUUGCAUGAGAACAGCAGAGUACUCCCCAGUAAUGACAAAAGAGAACAUUUCUCCAGUGCGUAUAACAUGAAAACAUUCAAUUGGAAGCAAUUUGUGUUUUAACCACUUGCUUACUGACUAAAUUAGUUCUGCCAGUGUAGUGCAUUCUUUUGGAGAUGUGAAUAUAAUUGGAUGUUAAGUUUAAUUCAUUUAAAUAAGUAUGCUUCCAAGCCAAUGCAAAGUAGUUUGGCUUAGCAAAAGUACAUUGAUGUAGUAAACAUUUAGCUAUAUGUAAUCUGUAUUGACAGAGUUUUUACAUAAAUGUGUUAAUAAUGAUCUGUACUGAAAUGUAGUGUGUAAGAACCAUGUAAUAUGCACUUUAAUGAGAAUCUUAUCCUUGCAAACAAUCUGUUUUACCCUUAGCUUUAACAAUACAUAAAAAAAGACAAAACUGUACAGUAAUAGGACCGUUAGUUGGUUUUGGUUUCGUGUGUUCACCUCUUCACAAGCUGGGGAAUGUUUUUCUCAAACAUAAUGAGAGGCUGGAAUAUUUUCUUCAUUGUUUGACUGCUUUGUAGCUGUAAACAGACAUAAGGCUUUUUGCUUUGAAUGGUUAUUUAGGUUGGUGAUCUUUACUGGGUGGGCUGACAGAGUGCUUUGCUAUAAUUAUUUAUACUUAUAAAUAUAAUUAUUUCUUAUUAUAAAUUUGUUUUUUCAAUUGUUUUAAUGGUGACUUUACAAUCAGGGAGAAGCCAGG
rnacentral:lncRNA from 14 species